ensembl:misc_RNA Y_RNA Y RNA
GGCUGGUCUGAGUGCAAUGGUGUUUACAACUAAUUGAUCAUAACCAGUUAACAGAUUCCUUGUUCCUUCUCCACACCCACUGCUUCACUUGACUAACCUUAA